UACGUAGGUGGCGAGCGUUGUCCGGAAUUAUUGGGCGUAAAGGGCGCGUAGGCGGCACUUUAAGUCAGAUGUGAAACCCCGGGGCUUAACUCCGGAAUGGCAUUUGAAACUGGGGUGCUUGAGUGCAGGAGAGGUAAGUGGAAUUCCUAGUGUAGCGGUGAAAUGCGUAGAUAUUAGGAGGAACACCAGUGGCGAAGGCGACUUACUGGACUGUAACUGACGCUGAGGCGCGAAAGCGUGGGGAGCAAACAGG
rnacentral:rRNA from 1 species